GAAACAGAGAAAGGGAGAGAGAGAGAAAGAGAGAGAUAAGAAUCUGUCUCUGAUUGGUGCAGGUGGGACACGUGGCCAGGCUCAUUAGCAUAUGGACCAGCAGGUGAGCGUGGGAGAGAAUAGUUUCAGCUAUGCCGCGAACACACCGACCUGACCGGAUCAAGAGUUUUGUCGGUUCGCCAGAGCAUCUCGCUUUGAACCCAGAGUCACCACAGGGCGGCACGUCGUCGGUCAUCUCACCUGGACGCUCAAUAACCGGCAGAUGCCCCACUGUUGUUUCUAUCUAACUGAUGCUGUGUUGGCCCAGAUGUGAGAACACAGGCCUCGCAGACCUGAUCGAUACUUUCUGUUCCUCUGGGAGCUUGGCUCUGCUGCUGCUGAUGUGUGUCAUCAGGAAGAAAAGGAGGACGGAGGGAACAUACAGGCCCAGUGCAGAGGAGAGGAAACAGACGGCGUCGGCGGGAUCUGAAAAACCUGGCCUGCCUCUCCCGUUGCCCA